GAUGAACGCUAGCUACAGGCUUAACACAUGCAAGUCGCGGGACCGGCGCACGGGUGAGUAACGCGUAUCCAACCUGCCCUUCACCACGGGAUAACCCGGCGCAAGUCGGACUACUACCGUAUGGUGAAGGCUGGUGAGGCGUCCGAUUAGCUUGAGGGCGGGGUAACGGCCCAGCGUGGCUACGAUCGGGAGGGGUGCUGAGAGGGAGGUCCCCCACACUGGAACUGAGACACGGUCCCGACGCCUACGGGAGGCAGCAGUGAGGAAUAGUGGGCAAUGGGCGUAAGCCUGAACCAGCCAAGUAGAGUGCAGGACGACGGCCUAGGGGUUGUAAACUGCUUGUAUGCGGGGAUAGGUACCGCAUGAAUAAGGACCGGCUAAUUCCGUGCCAGCCGCCGCGGUAAUUC
rnacentral:rRNA from 1 species